rnacentral:rRNA from 1 species
GACGAACGCUGGCGGCGUGCUUAACACAUGCAAGUCGAACGGAAAGGCCUUUUCGGAGGUACUCGAGUGGCGAACGGGUGAGUAACACGUGGGUGAUCUGCCCUGCACUCUGGGAUAAGCCUGGGAAACUGGGUCUAAUACCGGAUAGGACCGCACUUUAGUGUGUGUGGUGGAAAGUUUUUUCGGUGUAGGAUGAGCCCGCGGCCUAUCAGCUUGUUGGUGGGGUAAUGGCCUACCAAGGCGGCGGCGGGUAGCCGGACUGAGAGGUUGGUCGGCCACAUUGGGACUGAGAUACGGCCCAGACUCCUACGGGAGGCAGCAGUGGGGAAUAUUGCACAAUGGGCGCAAGCCUGAUGCAGCGACGCCGCGUGGGGGAUGACGGCCUUCGGGUUGUAAACUCCUUUCGCCAGGGACGAAGCGUUUUGUGACGGUACCUGGAGAAGAAGCACCGGCUAACUACGUG